GGUACCCAGUAUACCACUCAAUGUACGAUGACUUCGUCUGGAUGAAGAAGUUUGGUGACCCCAUGUUUCAAAGACACAUCGCAGCGGCUAGUGUUUGGGGUUUGGUUGCUCUUCAGUUAGCAGAUGAGGAGUUUUUACCUUUUAAUUAUCUCUCCUAUGCAUAUGAGCUCCAGAAAAGUGCAAAGGACUUGGAAGAUGAGAUCUCAGAUCAAGGCAUACGCCUUGAUCCCUUAUUCAAGUCCAUUGACGAUCUAACAAAAGCAGCCACCAAAAUAUAUAAUGAGAGAAAGGCAAUAGAAGAAAUCAGAGGCUGGGGAUCAAUAUUGAAGAAAGACCAUUUAAGAGUGAGAGAACUCAAUGACAGACUCAUGAUGGCAGAACGAGCAUUUACAGACCAAGAUGGACUCUCUGGGAGGCCAUGGAAUAAGCAUUUGAUAUACGCACCCUCAAAGCAUAAUGACUAUGGAUCCAAGUCCUUUCCUGGAAUUGAUGAUGCCAUUGACAAGGCAAAGAAGCUC
rnacentral:misc_RNA from 1 species